rnacentral:rRNA from 1 species
GGUUCAGAACGUCGUGAGACAGUUCGGUCCCUAUCCGUCGUGGGCGUAGGAAAUUUGAGAGGAGCUGUCCUUAGUACGAGAGGACCGGGAUGGACAUACCUCUGGUGUACCAGUUGUCGUGCCAACGGCAUAGCUGGGUAGCUAUGUAUGGACGGGAUAAGUGCUGAAAGCAUCUAAGUAUGAAGCCCCCCUCAAGAUGAGAUUUCCCAACUUCGGUUAUAAGAUCCCUCAAAGAUGAUGAGGUUAAUAGGUUCGAGGUGGAAGCAUGGUGACAUGUGGAGCUGACGAAUACUAAUCGAUCGAAGACUUAAUCAAAA